UACCCGCUGAACUUAAGCAUAUCAAUAAGCGGAGGAAAAGAAACCAACUGGGAUUACCUUAGUAACGGCGAGUGAAGCGGUAACAGCUCAAAUUUGAAAUCUGGCUCCCCUGGAGUCCGAGUUGUAAUUUGUAGAAGAUGCUUUGGGUUGUGGGUUCGGCCUAAGUUCCUUGGAACAGGACGUCAUAGAGGGUGAGAAUCCCGUACGUGGCCGAGGCCCGCGCCUAUGUAAAGCUCUUUCAACGAGUCGAGUUGUUUGGGAAUGCAGCUCAAAAUGGGUGGUAAAUUUCAUCUAAAGCUAAAUAUGGGCCAGAGACCGAUAGCGCACAAGUAGAGUGAUCGAAAGAUGAAAAGCACUUUGGAAAGAGAGUUAAACAGUACGUGAAAUUGUUGAAAGGGAAGCGCUUGCACCCAGACUUGGGCGCCGUCGAUCACCUUGAGUUCCUCUCGAGUGCACUCGACAGCGCACAGGCCAGCAUCGGUUCGGGUGGCUGGAUAAAGGCCGUAGGAACGUAGCUCCCUCCGGGGAGUGUUAUAGCCUAGGGGGCCAUGCAGCCCAGCCGGACCGAGGACCGCGCCUUCGGGCUAGGAUGCUGGCGUAAUGUAACGUCAGCACUGAGACUU
rnacentral:rRNA from 1 species